rnacentral:rRNA from 1 species
AUACGGGAGGCAGCAGUAAGGAAUAUUGGACAAUGGAGGCAACUCUGAUCCAGCCAUGCCGCGUGCAGGAUGAAGGCCCUAUGGGUCGUAAACUGCUUUUGUAUGGGAGAAAACCAUUUCACGUGUGAGAUGUUGAUAGUACCAUAAGAAUAAGGAUCGGCUAACUUCGUGCCAGCAGCCGCGGUAAGACGAAGGAUCCAAGCGUUAUCCGGAUUCAUUGGGUUUAAAGGGUGCGUAGGCGGAUUUGUAAGUCAGUGGUGAAAGCCGAUAGCUCAACUAUCGAACUGCCAUUGAUACUGCAGAUCUAGAAUAUAGAUGAUGUUGGCGGAAUAUGACAUGUAGCGGUGAAAUGCAUAGAUAUGUCAUAGAACACCGAUUGCGAAGGCAGCUGACAAAACUAUUAUUGACGCUGAUGCACGAAAGUGCGGGGAUCAAACAGGAUUAGAUACCCGUGUAGUCC